AAGGCCUCGUUCCUGGUGUUUUGAUCCUGGGGAAGGGUCGGAGAUCAGUAACUCAGUGAAGGAGGAUAGCUUCUUCUACGGAGCAAACAGCUUAGGAGUAUCUGCGUUAGAGCCUGGGAGAUCCUGACUCAGAUGUAUUCCUGCACAGCGCGAUGUGCGAGGCAGGAGACUCUCCUUCCCAGUCUGCAGUGUGGGAGAAACAGGAGCAGUUACCUCAGGCGGUUGCAGUGGAGAUAAAAGGAGACAGUUAGUGAUGAUUGAAGCCAUGGCCUAAGGGGUCUUGGAUGGCCGUUCUCUAGGGGGGGGGGGGCCUCCCUGUUUUCUGGAGACUCUUUCAGCUCCACUUUGGAAUAUUAAUUUAGUCUUUACCGAAAGUGUUUGCCAGUCAGGGUCUCAGGUCUGGCCGCGGUUGCCUUCCCAAUAUCCAUUUCCCGUUCUUCCCCUCGGAGCAGCCCCCUGCCUUGGCUCAGCCUUGGAAAGCCUGCGCUCUGCGUCCCCUGCCUGCCUGUGACUGGGGGUGACCAUAGGACCCGUUCUGGCCCGUGGGACCCAAGUGGAAGGAACCUCCUACGACAGGUUGCCUGGCUCCGUUCCCUUCUCUCUCUCCCUACUUUGAGAAAGGUUCCUGAUACUCGAAACCGCAGUAACUAUUUCCACAGGAAAAGCCAAGAGAACCACGGACAUGCCAGCCCCAACACCACUGAGCACCAGACCCACCCGCUUUCAGAUGUUUUCUUCUGUGAAACAAAGGAACCCCUAUUUGUUCAAGUACCUGCCCUGGAAAUAUUUUCCUGUGGAAGCCCCGGCGGAACUGACCCAACACAGUAAGCCAAGCCUGCAGCCCACAUUGAUAUUUUCUGCUGUAAACUCUCUGAAAGAGAUUUAAGAAAGUUGCUUUAUAAAUUAUUUGGCUAGAAAUAACAUUGAAGGUUGAUCAGUUGAUUUUUCAGUGAUCAUGGUGUAUAUUGCAAAUUCUUGGAAAGCAAGAAAAGCUACAAAGAGUUCUCAGUGGAUGCCACUAUACUGAAUGAAUGAGUUUGCAAGCCACUUAAUGGGCCAUGCGGUGGGGACAUUUAUACCAUGGAAACCAGCAAGAACCAUAAAGUAAUGUAGUGUGAAUUCACAGCUCCCCACUCCCAAUCAAUUUACCCCCACCCGCUGGGAAUUUGUUUGCUUGUUUGUUUGUUUUAAAUCUUCCUGGGUGGUUCAAAUGUGUAGCCACUGAACUGGGCUGGGAGUUCACUGCCCUGGGCCCUGACAAGGACAGCGGCUCAGCAGGACCGCAGACCCAUGCCAGGAGGAAGGAUGAAUUCUUGCAGGAUAGAGGAAGUACUCCCAUGGGGAGGUGCUCCCUGCCACCCACCUUAGGCCUUGUUCUGGUGAGUCCUAAUUUAGAUCAAGGCCUGGACAAAAAGGGUCUAAUCUCUGUUUGUUUUUGUAUUUGCACUGGAAUCAGUUGGUUUGUUUUUAUUGUUUUACUGCUGCCUUUCACUCAUUAACAGCCCAGUUAUCUUGUUUAUUGUACUUCUCUUUUUAUCUCCCACUGUUAGCAGGUCCUGUUGGCAAGCAGAGCUGUGGAGGCCUGGACAGAAGUUUGCAGCAAGUUCUCAAGGCUCUGCCGGCCUUCCUACUUCUGCAGCAGGUGGCCUGGGGGAAGUCCUUGAUCUUGAACCCGGACAAUUAGGGUCUG